UACGGAGGGUGCAAGCGUUAUCCGGAUUUACUGGGUUUAAAGCGCGUGUAGGCGGGGUGGCACGUCCGUCGCUGAAAUCCCCCGGCUCAACCGGGGAACGGGCGCGGAUACGACCAUCCUCGAGGGACGUAGGGGGACCUGGAACUUCCGGUGGAGCGGUGAAAUGCGUUGAGAUCGGAAGGAACGCCCGUGGCGAAAGCGAGGUCCUGGACGUCUGCUGACGCUGAGACGCGAAAGCCAGGGGAGCGAACGGG
rnacentral:rRNA from 1 species